AUUGAACGCUGGCGGCAUGCUUUACACAUGCAAGUCGAACGGCAGCGCGGGCUUCGGCCUGGCGGCGAGUGGCGAACGGGUGAGUAAUAUAUCGGAACGUACCCAAGAGUGGGGGAUAACGUAGCGAAAGUUACGUUAAUACCGCAUACGAUCUAAGGAUGAAAGCAGGGGACCGCAAGGCCUUGUGCUCCUGGAGCGGCCGAUAUCUGAUUAGCUAGUUGGUGAGGUAAAGGCUCACCAAGGCGACGAUCAGUAGCUGGUCUGAGAGGACGACGAGCCACACUGGAACUGAAACACGGUCCAGACUCCUACGGGAGGCAGCAGUGGGGAAUUUUGGACAAUGGGGGCAACCCUGAUCCAGCAAUGCCGCGUGAGUGAAGAAGGCCUUCGGGUUGUAAAGCUCUUUUGUCAGGGAAGAAAAGGGAGUGGCUAAUAUCCAUUCCUGCUGACGGUACCUGAAGAAUAAGCACCGGCUAACUACGUGCCAGCAGCCGCCGUAACAC
rnacentral:rRNA from 1 species